rnacentral:tRNA from 1 species
GAGCAUAUAGCUCAGUGGUAGAGCACAUGCUCAGUAUGCACAAGGCCCUGGGUUCAAUCCCCAGUACCUCU